rnacentral:misc_RNA from 1 species
ACCCAAUCCACCAGGCCACCACUACAAAAAGAAGGUAAAAAAUCUCCGAUAACAGAGAUUGAAAAUUUUCAUUUAUUUAUUGUUUCAUAUUUUCAUGUAUACUUUAACUUGCAUCACAUGUACAUGCAACCAACUUAAAAAGAAAAAUAUGAACAUUUAUCCUGUGAAUGAAAUGGAGAUGGCUAACACAAAAUUAAUCCAUGCUAACACAAAAUUAAUCCAUCUCAAGUAAUGUGGUCAGACUCUAAUCAAAAUGUUUACUCACUUUGCUUGAAGUUA